GCUAGUGCGGGACGUCGUCGCCCGCGAGGCCGGAGCUUGGAUCCGCGGAGCGACCGGAGAGCGGAGGGGGCGGCGGGGCCCGGGCGCGGCGGGUCUCUUCGCCUCUCACUGCGCGCUCGAACCCUGGGCCCGGCGACCCGCGGGCUGCACCCUAUGUAAUGCGGAGAAUGUGUGAGCCAGCGCAGGGCGGUGGGGAGGAGGAGGCGCAAGAGAGGGCGUCGGCAAGAUAGACCUCGAGGCAGCGAGAAAGACAGAGGACGGAGAUCGGGGCGGGUGCAGGUGCGAGAAAGAAGAGGAGAUAAAAGGAAAGGCAGUGACAGAAAAGGGGGAAAGAAAGGAGCGAGAGAGCACGCGGCGGCGGGAGGCGGCGCAGGCGAGGAAGAGAGAGCCGGCGCCUCUGGGUGGGAGCGCCGGAGACCGGAGUUGGGUGCGCCGGCCAGUGAGCAGGCUGAGAGCACGGCCGCGGUCCGGCUGGGCGCGGUGAAGAAGCAGGGACGCCCGCAGGGGCCCCCUCUGGGAGCAGCCGGGGACCUGAGGCGGGGCCAACCUGGUAGCGGACGCAGAGCCACUCCUCAGGCCCCACGGGCCGCGCUCUGGGGACUCCGGCGGGCCGGGGCCAGGGGGCCUUUUGUGAGCGCCUCAGGAAGGCGAGAGUUGGGAGUGAGGAGCCGGGUGUGCGGCGGCAGCGGGGGUGUGUGCGCGCCCGGGCGUGCGCGUGUGUGAGCGCCCAGGCGGGUGGGAGCGCGCGUUAGGGAUUCUGCUGGCAUCGCAGCGUGGAGAGCAGGAGGCAGGCGCAGGGCGCGCAGGGGAGCGCGGGGCCCUCCCGCGCACACGCACACAGCGCGCGCGCGCGCGCACACACACACACACACACACACACACACAUACACACAUACACACCCUCACGCCCUCCCUGCCUCGCUCGUUGCCGCGGCCACCAUCUCGGAGCCGAGCCCUGCGGAGCGGGAACUCGAGUCGGAGCGGGAACCGGAGCGGAGCCGAGACGGGGAAUGCGGCCCUGGAGUGGAGCCGCGCGCGGAAUGCGCGCCCGGGACGCCUCCUGCGCCCACAGGCCCUGAGGCUCCUGUGCCCACCGGCAAGGAGGGAGACCAGUCAAGCCCAGGCUGACCCCCAGCCCAGUGGCAUGCCCCAGACGCCUGCUCGACCUGCGACCUUGGAGGAGCCAGACUGUCACAGAGCAAGAGUCCCCGCCCUGCAGAUGGGAG